AACAACCACAGAGCUGUCUCAAUUGCUGAUAGAAGACACCUGCUUCAACGGCUGAAGACACCUGAUCACCUAUCCCAUAAAUAGUGGGCUUGUAAAUAGACUAACCUGUAUUUAUGAAUCCUUCUUAAGAGGUGUGGUCUGGGGAAAGGGGGUGACCUUGAAAAUCAUUGCCAGGUCGGAUUUACGGCCAUCGUGUACUCUCAUCAAGUAAGAAAAUCAAAGAGAAGCCUAAAGUUAAAUCGGUACUUCAAACAGCAGCAACGUCCUGAGUUCUAGGAGCCUACUGCAUACUUCCACUAAGUGCUGUGAUAUGACAGAAAGAUAGUGGCUGAGAUAUUGCCAUGUCUGUUGAAAUGGUUGAAACAUCUGUAUGUGGAGAAAAAUUUCAGCACUUCAUUACUUCAGUGUCUUUGCUCAGUCCUUGAAGCUAAUGCUGGAUGUUGAAAAUUUGAAAGCCUUUUUUUUGUUUUUAGGCCACUGGUAUAUGUAAAAUGAGACACAGUUGUCAUCUUUCAGGAAUGUGAAUUAAUUUAAAAAUUAAAAUGCUUGAAACUUUAUUUAAUGAGUAACUAAUUCGAUUGCAAAGCGUGGUUUGCCUGUCCUUAAUGGUCGUAGGUUAUACUGAGGUAGAUAUAAUUUCAGUCCCUAGGUGAGUGUGAGAAGACGUAUACAUAUAUCAGAGUGGAGAUGGUAGGAGGAAAUAACUUAAUCUAAAUGCUGUCACUGAACAAAACAGCAGUGUGUAAAGACACAUGCAGCUGUGAAACUGCAGAUGGAAUAACAAGAAAACAGAAUCUAACUGUGCAUGUUGAAGCAGAUGUGAAGCAGAGAGCAUACUCCAAGCAGCUGAUUUUAAAAAGAAAUAAAGGUAGCACUGGACUAACUAUCAUCGAUUACUUACACUGAAAAACUUAAAAUAGUUAUUUGUAUACAUUUUCAAGAGGUAGACACAGUCCUAUAGUCCCACCUGCCUGAACAGUAUGGCUGCAGUUCCUUCAUGUGAUAAAAGAUACUGAACUACACGUGCCAGUUCCAAGAAAGCCAAAUCUGGCGUUUGAGGAAAGCUGAGCGAAGGCAGAAGGCACAAACAUAACAAGUUGAUGAUUUGUCUUCUAUCACAAGCAUCUCAUUCAUGGACUUUUCUUGGCCAAAGGGGUACAAUCUUCGCUUUGUCUCAUCUGUUCCUUCCUUUUCUACCAAAGUGGUGCCAGCCAUUUUCUCCUCCCUUGCAGCAAGGAAAUAGCAAGUGGGAAGUUUUCUCCAUUCCAAGCUCCUGGUAUAAGAUUUGAUUCAAAUACCACUUCUUUAUGUUGUCUUAGACUUUGAAUAUGAGCAGCGUUAACCCUUGGAGCUUAACUCAAGCAACCUCCUCCUUUGUGUGGUUAAAAAGCCAUCUGCCCCCGUGGUUGCUCAUCUCCAGAUGUCACUGCUGCUAGAUGUUUUUUUUCCCAGCUUUACCCCUCUGCAACGCCACCGACCUUUGCCUCUGACUUGUCCCAUUCAGUCUGCCAGAAAGGCUUACAGAACCUCUGUAAACACAAUCAUACAUUUUUUUCCAGAGUGCCUGAUGCUGUACUUGUGAUAGAUUUAUUAUCUGUAAAUAGCAGUGCAUAAUACUCAAAGCCUACCUGACUACUACAUGGCAAGAGACUCAGCAGAAAUUUUAGUGCCUCCUUUUCCCAUUGAGCACUUAGAAAACCUUCACAGUUUCUGGAAGGGAGGUGCUUAUUGAACUAGUCACUAGAAGGUGCUUCACAAAGAAUGUUCUGAGGGUAG
ensembl:lncRNA